CCUACGGGCGGCUGCAGUGGGGAAUUUUGGACAAUGGGCGCAAGCCUGAUCCAGCCAUUCCGCGUGAGUGAAGAAGGCCUUCGGGUUGUAAAGCUCUUUCGCAAGGGAAGAAAACUUAACCUCUAACAUAGGUUGAGGCUGACGGUACCUUGAUAAGAAGCACCGGCUAACUACGUGCCAGCAGCCGCGGUAAUACGUAGGGUGCGAGCGUUAAUCGGAAUUACUGGGCGUAAAGCGUGCGCAGGCGGCCUGAUAAGUCAGAUGUGAAAUCCCCG
rnacentral:rRNA from 1 species